GACGAACGCUGGCGGCGUGCUUAAUACAUGCAAGUCGAGCGAGGCCUUGGAAUUGGAGUCCUUCGGGAUGAAGAGUCCUUGGCCUAGCGGCGGACGGGUGAGUAACGCGUGGGCAACCUACCCCAAAGUCCGGGAUAACAGUGGGAAACCGCUGCUAAUACCGGAUGGCUUUACCUGAGGGCAUCCUCGGGUAAAGAAAGGUUACGCUUUGGGAUGGGCCCGCGUCCCAUUAGCUAGUUGGUGAGGUAACGGCUCACCAAGGCGACGAUGGGUAGCCGGCCUGAGAGGGUGAACGGCCACACUGGGACUGAGACACGGCCCAGACUCCUACGGGAGGCAGCAGUGAGGAAUAUUGGUCAAUGGACGAGAGUCUGAACCAGCCAAGUCGCGUGAAGGAAGACGGUUCUAUGAAUUGUAAACUUCUUUUGUGCAGGAAUAAAGUGGGUUACGUGUAACCUUUUGUAUGUACUGUAACGAAUAAGGAUCGGCUAACUCCGUG
rnacentral:rRNA from 1 species